rnacentral:rRNA from 1 species
UCCGUAGGUGGAUAAUUAAGUCAGUGAUGAAAUCCUGCAGCUCAACUGUAGAACUGUCAUUGAUACUGAUUUUCUUGAAUACAGUUGAGGUAGGCGGAAUAUGUAAUGUAGCGGUGAAAUGCUUAGAUAUUACAUAGAACACCGAUUGCGAAGGCAGCUUACUAAACUGUGAUUGACGCUGAGGCACGAAAGCGUGGGGAGCGAACAGGAUUAGAUACCCUGGUAGUCC